rnacentral:rRNA from 1 species
CCUACGGGUGGCUGCAGUGAGGAAUAUUGGUCAAUGGGCUUACGCCUGAACCAGCCAAGUCGCGUGAGGGAAGACUGCUCUAUGGAUUGUAAACCUCUUUUGUCAGGGAGCAAUUGGCGCUACGUGUAGCGCUAUCGAGAGUACCUGAAGAAAAAGCAUCGGCUAACUCCGUGCCAGCAGCAGCGGUAAUACGGGGGUGGCAAGCGUUAUCCGGAUUUAUUGGGUGUAAAGGGCGUGUAGGCGGGUCUGCAAGUCCGAUGUGAAAACCACGGGCUCAACCUGUGGCCUGCAUUUGAAACUGUAGUUCUUGAGUACUGGAGAGGUAGACGGAAUUCGUAGUGUAGCGGUGAAAUGCGUAGAUAUUAGGAGGAACACCAGUGGCGAAGGCGGUCUGCUGGACAGCAACUGACGCUGAGGCGCGAAAGCGUGGGGAGCAAACAGGAUUAGAUACCCCAGUAGUC